UUAAUUCCUCUUUCUGAUAAUUCAUUGUUAGUGUAUAAAAACACAGCAGGUUUUUGUACUAACAGUGCUAGUUUACGUAUUUUUUAUUGAUCCUGGUUCUUUGCCAGGCACUGCCCCAGGUGUUUCACACACAUCAACUCUAAUCCGCACGGGAGUUCUGCAAGACAGGGGCUACUGUUCCCCUCCGCUAGAUCACUGUGCAGAGGCUCGGGAGAGAGGGGCGAGGUUUAGUUCUGCAGCUCACGUUCACAGCCUCAUGCCCUGCAGCCUCUGCUAAUGGCGGCAGUGCCCAGCUUUCAGCAGCCCUCCACAUAAACUGUCUAUCAGUAUGUGGUGCAUCCAGAUCUUCAGUGACUCAACAGGGUUGGUGUUCUGCUUACUAUUGCUGGGUAACAAACCACCCCCAAACUUUGUGGUAUCAAAGAGCCAUUUUAUCACAUUCAUAGAUUCUGUGUGUAAGGAAUCUACACAGGGAAAUGAAGAAGCCUAUUUCUAGGGCCUCGGCUAGAUUCUGUCCUGGAGGGUUCUUCACGCGCCUGCUGGCUUUUGGCUGGAGCCUCGGGUGGGACUGUCAGCCAGAACACCAAUCUGCAAACUCUCUAUAUUGCCUGGGUUUUCUCACCACAUGUUAGCCCCUGAGUAGUUGGUCAUCUUAUAGGGCAGCUCAGGGCUCCAGCGUGAGUGUCCCAAAAGAAUUAGGCAUAAGCCUUUCCUGAGCUAGCCCUGGAAAUUAUGCUGGGCCACUCCUGAUGCAUGCUGUUGGUUACAAGCAAGUGACUAAGAUUGACCUAGAUUCAAGGAGGGGACAUGGACACCCAUUUCUUAAUAGGAAAAGUAUCAAAGAAUUUGCAAACGUGCGUUAAAGCCAUCACAGUGGGUAACAAAUAGUCCACUACAUACUGUGACUUGUGGCUAAUCCGUUGGUGUUGGAGUUCCUAUGUGUCUCCCCUGUUGGACCUUGCCCCUGCCUGCUGACCCACUUGACUCCUAGAAAUAUAAGCCGGGGAGCCCUCCAGGCAAAUGCCUCUCUAUUACUGGUGGGGCUUCUGCCCCUAAUUUCUAGCUGAUCUGCUGCCUUGAUAAACUGGCCAGGGAAGAGGCGAAACAUUGGUAGACUCCUUUUCAACCUUUUUUUCUAAGGACAGACAGUCAGAAUAUGCUUCUCAUUAACCUUGGACGGUUUUGCUUGGCUUUUCAGAAGCAAGAGUAGGCUGAAAAAUUCAAAUUUAUUACUUCACUCACAUGAGAUCAUGCACCUGGUUAAUUCAAUUUUUUUAAGUAAUUUUAUUGGGAUUAUAAUGGUUUGUAACAAUGAGAAUUCAAUCUUUAGUAAAUUAAAAUAUUUGUUGACAGAAAGACCCUGCUGGUGGAGACAGAAAUCAUUGAUCAAGGAGGAAAAAUUGAGUAAAGACAUGAAAACUACUUAACUGGAAAAGGUGAUUAGACAGCAGAGUGGAAUUGAUGAUUUGGUGCCUCCUUUUCCCUGGACCAUCAUUCCGAGAGACCACACACAGUUAUGACAUAAAGUCCAGCUGAAACGUUCAUUCCAGAUCUCUCUGAAUGGGAUACAUUCAGGCUCAGGGAGCCGCUCUUAACUGACGGUGUUGCCUAGGACAGAGAGCUGUGGAGCAGCGGGGACCAGGAAUUCUGAGUGUAGCCACCACUCGCUCACUUCACAUUUGACACAUACGCAGGUAAAGCUAUUGCUGUUACUGCGUUUCAUAAUUUCAUAAAAAGGCUGCUUAUCAAGUAGCCUUUGGAGCGCUGGAAAAGAGAAUGUGCCACUCAAUAGUCUUCCAUGAAACUGUUCUCUGAAUUAACAGAAAUCUGAAGGGUAGAUGUGCUAUGUAUCUAGAUUUCUUCAGGAUUUUACUAUAUUUUUAACGGAAAUAUUAUGCUUCAUAAUUAUCAGAAUAUUUUCUGCUAUAACGAGCUGAAAUACUACAUUUCCCAAUUUCUCUUGCAACAGGAGAGCAGUCAUUUGACUAAGUUCUAAAGGGAGGGUAUAAACUUCCAAGUCUCCUUUACUUUUAACUUCUGACUCUUCUUAAAAGAGAGGGAGUACAUCCUUCAUGCUGCCUGGAAUGUGGGCAUGUGGAAUGUGAGCAUGAUGGCUAGAGCUUCAGCAGCCAUUAUGAACCAUGUGGCGGAAGCCACCAGCUGAGGAUAGUGGAAUGAGAGCCUGGGUCCCUGACCUGUGAAUCUACCACAGCUGUCUUUACAUGUCAUUCACUUGAGAGACAAAUAAACAUUUUUCUUAUUUAA